UACGUAGGGUGCGAGCGUUGUCCGGAAUUAUUGGGCGUAAAGGGCUCGUAGGCGGUCUGUCGCGUCGGGAGUGAAAACUCAGGGCUUAACCCUGAGCCUGCUUCCGAUACGGGCAGACUAGAGGUAUGCAGGGGAGAACGGAAUUCCUGGUGUAGCGGUGGAAUGCGCAGAUAUCAAGAGGAACACCGGUGGCGAAGGCGGUCUCUGGGCAUUACCUGACGCUGAGGAGCGAAAGUGUGGGGAGCGAACAGG
rnacentral:rRNA from 1 species